rnacentral:rRNA from 2 species
GUCGAACGAGUUCUGAUUAUUGAAAGGUGCUUGCAUCUUGAUUUAAUUUUGAACGAGUGGCGGACGGGUGAGUAACACGUGGGUAACCUGCCCUUAAGUGGGGGAUAACAUUUGGAAACAGAUGCUAAUACCGCAUAAAUCCAAGAACCGCAUGGUUCUUGGCUGAAAGAUGGCGUAAGCUAUCGCUUUUGGAUGGACCCGCGGCGUAUUAGCUAGUUGGUGAGGUAACGGCUCACCAAGGCAAUGAUACGUAGCCGAACUGAGAGGUUGAUCGGCCACAUUGGGACUGAGACACGGCCCAAACUCCUACGGGAGGCAGCAGUAGGGAAUCUUCCACAAUGGACGCAAGUCUGAUGGAGCAACGCCGCGUGAGUGAAGAAGGCUUUCGGGUCGUAAAACUCUGUUGUUGGAGAAGA